rnacentral:rRNA from 1 species
UGGGGAAUAUUGGACAAUGGGCGCAAGCCUGAUCCAGCAAUGCCGCGUGAGUGAUGAAGGCCUUAGGGUUGUAAAGCUCUUUCGCACGCGACGAUGAUGACGGUAGCGUGAGAAGAAGCCCCGGCUAACUUCGUGCCAGCAGCCGCGGUAAUACGAAGGGGGCUAGCGUUGUUCGGAAUUACUGGGCGUAAAGGGCGCGUAGGCGGCCUGUUUAGUCAGAAGUGAAAGCCCCGGGCUCAACCUGGGAAUAGCUUUUGAUACUGGCAGGCUUGAGUUCCGGAGAGGAUGGUGGAAUUCCCAGUGUAGAGGUGAAAUUCGUAGAUAUUGGGAAGAACACCGGUGGCGAAGGCGGCCAUCUGGACGGACACUGACGCUGAGGCGCGAAAGCGUGGGGAGCAAACAGAUUAGAUACCCUGGUAGUCCACGCGUAAACGNUGAAUGCUAGCGUCGGGGUGCAUNCACUUCGGUGUCGCCGCUAACGCAUUAAGCAUUCCGCCUGGGGAGUACGGCCGCAAGGUUAAAA